rnacentral:rRNA from 1 species
GACGAACGCUGGCGGCGUGCUUAACACAUGCAAGUCGAACGGAAAGGCCCUGCUUUUGUGGGGUGCUCGAGUGGCGAACGGGGGAGUAACACGUGAGUAACCUGCCCUUGACUUUGGGAUAACUUCAGGAAACUGGGGCUAAUAUCGGAUAGGAGCUCCUGCUGCAUGGUGGGGGUUGGAAAGUUUCGGCGGUUGGGGAUGGACUCGCGGCUUAUCAGCUUGUUGGUGGGGUAGUGGCUUACCAAGGCAUUGACGGGUAGCCGGCCUGAGAGGGUGACCGGCCACAUUGGGACUGAGAUACGGCCCAGACUCCUACGGGAGGCAGCGGUGGGGAAUAUUGCACAAUGGGCGGAAGCCUGAUGCAGCAACGCCGCGUGCGGGAUGACGGCCUUCGGGGUGUAAACCGCUUUCGCCUGUGACGAAGCGUGAGUGACGGUAAUGGGUAAAGAAGCACCGGCUAACUACGUG